UUUUGGAGGGCAAGUCUGGUGCCAGCAGCCGCGGUAAUUCCAGCUCCAAUAGCGUAUAUUAAAGUUGUUGCAGUUAAAAAGCUCGUAGUUGAAUUUCGGGGUUAGCAGGUCGGUCGUGCCAUCGGUAUGAACUGGCCUCGCUGAUUCCUACCUCUUGACGAACCGUGAUGCCAUUAAUUUGGUGUCGCAUGAAUCAGACCUUAUCC
rnacentral:rRNA from 1 species